GCUCCAAUAGGGUAUAUUAAAGUUGUUGAGGUUAAAAAGUUGGUAGUUGACCUUGGGCCUGGCUGUCCGGUCCGCCUCACCGGCGUGCAUUGGUUCGGCCGGGCCUUUCCUUUGGGAACCGCAUGCCCUUCACUGGGUGUGUCGGGAACCAGGACUUUUACUGUGACCAAAUUAGAUCGCUCAAAGCAGGCUUAUGGCUCGAAUGCAUUAGCAUGGAAUAAUAGAAUAGGACGGCGGUUCUAUUUUGUUGGUUUCUAGGACCGCCGUAAUGAUUAAUAGGACAGUCGGGGGCAUCCGUAUUCAAUUGUCAGAGGUGAAAUUCUUGGAUCUAUUGAAGACUAACUACUGCGAAAGCAUUUGCCAAGGAUGUUUUCAUUAAUCAGGAACGAAAGUUAGGGGAUCGAAGA
rnacentral:rRNA from 2 species